rfam:Loxodonta africana unplaced genomic scaffold scaffold_16, whole genome shotgun sequence.
GCAGUGAUGGUUCUGUGGUAGAAUUCACGCCUUCCAUGUGGGAGACCCGGGUUUGAUUCCCGGCCAAUGUA